AUAUAUAUAUAUAUAUAUAUAUAGUUAAAAAAACGUUCGGUGUAUCUAAGCUAAACCUAUAGCUAUAAUGAUUGUUGUAGAAAAGAAUGGAAAGCCGUAUAAAAACCCUCGUCGAAGCCCUAAAACCAAAUCCUAAACUAUAUUGGAUUCGAUUAAAAUCAAUUGAGGUUUAAUAAGAAAUCGUCGUUGAGAAAAAUGUAUUUUUUGAAUUAUCAUUCCCCGGUUAAAACGCGUAUAUAUGGAUUAUAUUGUUAAUCAAUAAUUGUAAAUUAAACUAAACGUAUACAGCGAUUAUUGUUGAUGAUUUCGAUUAAUAUUAAGUUGUCGAGAAGAAAAAAAAAAAAAUAAUAAUAAUAACAAUAACAAUAACAAUAAUAAUAAAUAAAUAAAUAAAUAAAUAAAUAAAAACCCUGUUUCUAGUAUUUUGAUAUAGUUGUGAACAGUAAGAAGAAUAAAAAUAAAAGUGAUAAAAAUUUUAAUGUAUUAUAAAAACAGGCGUCAACUUCGCUAUCCCAUUGAUACCGGAUUAUG